rnacentral:rRNA from 1 species
GACGAACGCUGGCGGCGUGCUUAACACAUGCAAGUCGAACGGUGAAGGGGCCUGCUUUUGUGGGCCCUGGAUGAGUGGCGAACGGGUGAGUAACACGUGAGUAACCUGCCCCCUUCUUCUGGAUAACCGCAUGAAAGUGUGGCUAAUACGGGAUAUUCUGGGUCUGUCGCAUGAUGGGUCUGGGAAAGAUUGCGCCUUUGGGUGUUUUUGGUGGGGGAUGGGCUCGCGGCCUAUCGGCUUGUUGGUGGGGUGAUGGCCUACCAAGGCGGUGACGGGUAGCCGGCCUGAGAGGGUGGACGGUCACACUGGGACUGAGACACGGCCCAGACUCCUACGGGAGGCAGCAGUGGGGAAUAUUGCACAAUGGGCGCAAGCCUGAUGCAGCGACGCCGCGUGAGGGAGGGAGGCCUUCGGGUUGUAAACCUCUUUCGCCAGUGAAGCAGGCCUGCUCCUUGUGGGUGGGUUGACGGUAGCUGGAGAAGAAGCGCCGGCUAACUACGUG